GGAAACAUGACUUUAUUAGUGCUCCCACAGCUGAAAAGUCCCAUGAACAAAAAAUUUCCUUCUCUGUUCACUACACCAGAAGCAGCCACUGAACACCCACAGUGAUGAUCUUUGGCUGGGGCCUGGCUAUGGUACGGGACACUGAGCGACACAGGUGUCAGACAGCAGUGCUUCCUCCUGGGCAGACAUAUGUACAUGCAGCUCAUGUUAAAAAUGAGCUCCUGGGGCUGGGGAUUUAGCUCAGUGGUUCCAUUGCCUGCCUCGCAAGCCCAAGGUUGCAGGUUCGAUCCAAGGUACCAAAAAAACCAAACCUCCUAUUCAGCACUUGGGAGGUGGAGGCAGGAGGAUCCCUGUGAGUCUCAAGCCAGACUGGGCUACAAAAGUGAGUUCAAGGUCAGCCUGGACUACACAGUGAGAUUUUGUCUCAAAAAACCAAAAAAGAUGGGCCAGGGAUUUAGCUCAGUGGCACUGUGUCUGCCUCGAAAGUGCAAGGUCCUGAGUUCAAUCCUGGUACCCCUCACCAAAAAAACCAAAAAAGGAAAAAACCAAAAAACAGCUUAUUUCCCUGAUGGGAAAGAGCACACCUCAGUCUAUGCACAUGCCAUAAGAAGGCAUGGGGUGGCACACACACCCUGGGUGGGCCUUGGCCCAUAAGCCCCUUCCGACUUAACUGAAGCCCCCAAGUGCUGUGCCAAGGAUGAAGAAGUGUCCAGGGGGGUGAGAGUUGCCUGGGCCUGCUCCCUUGCUCCCCGUCUGUCAGGUCAAGACGUGUCAGGGUGGUGUUGCCAGUGCCGCGCGCUGACCUUUGUCAGCACUAGUGCAUUUCAGCAGAGCAACCCUCCUGCCUCUGCCGGUGUGGCACUUGGCUCUCAGCAAGCAGGAGACAGCGAUCCCUCUUCUCCUACAGGGAGAGCAGCACCUGCUCUGGCUGCGUCCUGGCCUUCUCCUGGCUUCUGGCCAUCCUGGCUCCGAACCUUUUCCUUGUACUCCUCUAAGGCGCAGCAGCCACUUGGCCCAGUAGUGGGAGCAGAGCUCGGCGUUCAGGAAGUGGGCAUGUGCGGGGGGAGCCAUCCUUGUAGGCCACCACGAUCAGGCCGCACUGCACCUGCGCAGAGAUGGGCGAUGCCAGGGUUCCUGUGAGCCCACAGCUCAGGUUUGUUACUUCAGGACCACAUCACCCUCAAGAGCGUCUCCUGACUACAGGAAAAUCUACCUCCAAGGUGGUGGUGACUAAAGACUGUACAUGGUGCUGGGUGUGGUGGCCCACGCCUGCAAUCCCAGUACUCAGGAGGCUGAGGCAGGGGCAUCACUGUGAAUUUGAGGCCAGCCUGGACUACACAGGGAGUUCAAGAUCACCCUGAACUACAUGGACGAGACCUUGACUCAAAAGCAUAAAGAAAUAAAGACUGCACCCAAGGCACAUGGGGAUACCAAGAUGCCAGGCACAACACUGAAGAAUGGACUAGGAGCAGGAGGAACAGAGGAAAGAAGCCAGGGAAGGAAGAAACGGUGGUUCUCAGGCGGGCGUGGGACCCCUGGGGUGGAAAGCACCACCUGACCUGGAAGCUGUAGUUGGCAUCGUGGUUCAGGGCACCCAUGUACGCCACCACCUGCAGUGGGUUAUCGUAUGUGUUCUGGAGGAAGGGCUUGGCUUCUCUGAUGUCUUCCAGUCGAUCACGCACAGCUUGCCUCUACGAUACCAGAGAAGUAUCUGCAUAUUGGGUCAGACC
rnacentral:lncRNA from 1 species